ACUGUGAACAAAGGGAGGCCUCCUGGCUCAGGUGCGACCCGUACAAACAGAGGCCCCAGACGUGAAGAGGGGGAAAAGUUAUGUACCAACCUGAGAAGCAUGUAAUUCACAGUGUCAGAGGGCAGCUGAGAAAGCUCCAGAUGGAUAAGAGUCCGUUAUGGCGGGGAAGCAUGGAUACAAGGCACGGGCAUGGUGGCUGGAGCAAGAUGCCAAAAGUUCACAUCUUGAACUGCAGUUCAAAGCAGAGAGAACCAAUGGAAACAGCGACUGGGCCCAAGGGUGAAGACUUUCUCCACUAAGGAACAAGACAGAGAAAAGCCUAAUGUCCCCCAAACCCACUGUCACUUUCCUGAGACUUAGCAGAGAAAAGUUGGAUGAGCAUUCCUUCAAAGUCACAACUUUGCAGCUGAAAAUUCAAGCAGCAUCAGUCGCCUCCAACGUGACCUUGGACGGCUUUGGUGACAGUCAUGACCUUCCAGCAAGUUUAAAUACUUAGAGGGCAAAUGAGUUUGUACUGGUCAAAAUGCUGUAAUUCCACCCUUAGCAUGCUACUAUAAUUUAAAUAAGAAUUCUCAUUGCCUGUGCUGUUCCAAGUGUGCACAGAACCUCUAGUCUGGUAGCAGAGUCUGGAGGGAAAAGUAGAAAUAAACACCGGGAGAAGAGGAAUGGGGAAGAAUAAGGGACCCAGGAAGGGAAAACUCAGGCAGAGUGCGAUGGGACAAAGUGUGACCUUUGGAUGUGGUGUGGAAGUUUACACUUGCAUUCCAAUCUCCUACCUCCUGUACUCUGGAUCAUCUUCCAUUCUACAUUUAAAUAAAA